CAGACUUAGCUUGCUUAACAGCCAGCUCCCAUAGUUGGAGAGUCAGCCGAUACCUUGACUGGGCACCCUGCUUCCACAUGUGUACUGUCCAGGUACUAAUGUCCGUAUAUGGUCAGAGACUCGUGGUUCGGUGGUCGCUCGACCCUCUGGCCCCAGGCCAUUCCAGGAGUCCAUGUUGGUAUCCUGCUGCUCCAGUCACGUUUGCGGCUGCGGGCAGAGACUCGGGUGCCGUUGUGUUUCUCUCUGAGAGGGUGUUUGUACUGCCGCUUGUGUGCGUCGAUCCCUAUGUUUUGUCCUCUGUGGGUCCUCUGUUUUGGUAAGUGGUAGCGGGCUCUGUACCUCUUGGGAUUCGGCCGGGUGUCGGCUGGGUCGGUGUUUCACUUCUCCCGCCUCGCUGAGCUAGGAGCCAUGUGCUGCAUCCGACGUUUGUCUGCUGGGGGUGAAAGAGGGUCCGGAGGCUUGUUUGGGUGUUUGCUUUUUCUCCUUUGCUCCCUCCUUGCCUGUGCCUCCCUGUCAGAAGCCGCUGAGCAACGCAUCGAGCCGCUCUUCCAAUGUCGUUGGUGGGCCUCGUGCUGCGGUGUCGGAGUCCUCCGCCACCAUCUUGGUAAGGCUGGAGGGAGGCCACAGGGGCGGGUGAGUUACCAGGGACCUAAGUUAGCCUCGGAGAAGUGCCUGCUUGCUUGAGCCGGGAUAACCCCCACCGGCUGAAGGGGGGGAACGGGGGUCUCGAUGGGGUCAGUGCUGUCUUGCAUAGCUGCUCACUGGGAGAUCGGCCGCUUCUCCCGCGUUUGCAACCGCUGGUAGGCCGCUUUUUUAUCUGGACUUAGGAUUUUUCUCCGAGCGUGGAAAACCACCCAGGUGAGUCUUGGGAUAUCACUGAUGCACUGCUGUACCAGGAUAACGGUUUUAGUGCAUUUUGUCUUGGUUAUGUCGCUUUUUUGCAGAUUUCCUACUCGGAGCUCUCUUCAUGUGCGACCAGCUUGGUCAAUGGUUAGGCCCCG